CCACGGUCCAGCUAGUCAAGGGAUAUCUAUGAGUAUUCUAGCCCAAACACCACGUUUACGCUAGAGAUGAUUACUCUAAACUCUACGCGAAGAGAUCAAAGUAAACUCAUAAACCAAAGAACAAUAAAACAAAGAACUUACUAGAAUUUAGAAGUCGAAAUACUGAAGAAUCCUAGAAGCAAGCCUUGGGUUAGGAGAUCGUUCCUUGGAUGCUCUUCUUUGAUGGAUCUACAUGUGACCGGGGGGCAGGAAACGGUAUAGUGCUAAUUUCUCCUCGGGGAAAGUGUAACACCCAAAAAUUU
rnacentral:lncRNA from 1 species